CCCGCACAAGCGGUGGAGCAUGUGGUUUAAUUCGAUGCAACGCGAAGAACCUUACCUGGGCUUGACAUCCCUGGAAUCCCCUGGAAACAGGGGAGUGCCCUUCGGGGAGCCAGGAGACAGGUGCUGCAUGGCUGUCGUCAGCUCGUGACGUGAGAUGUUGGGUUAAGUCCCGCAACGAGCGCAACCCUUGUCUUUAAUUGCCAUCAUUCAGUUGGGCACUUUAAAGAGACUGCCGGUGUUAAACCGGAGGAAGGUGGGAUGACGUCAAGUCCUCAUGGCCUUUAUGCCCAGGGCUACACACGUGCUACAAUGGGUGGUACAAAGAGAUGCAAUCUCGCAAGAGCAAGCAAACCUCAAAAAGCCAUCCUCAGUUCGGAUUGGAGUCUGCAACUCGACUCCAUGAAGUCGGAAUCGCUAGUAAUCGCGGAUCAGCACGCCGCGGUGAAUACGUUCCCGGGCCUU
rnacentral:rRNA from 1 species